rnacentral:rRNA from 1 species
GGUUAAGCGACUAAGCGUACACGGUGGAUGCCCUGGCAGUCAGAGGCGAUGAAGGACGUGCUAAUCUGCGAAAAGCGUCGGUAAGGUGAUAUGAACCGUUACAGCCGGCGAUGUCCGAAUGGGGAAACCCAGUGCAAUUCGUUGCACUAUCGUUAACUGAAUACAUAGGUUAACGAGGCGAACCGGGGGAACUGAAACAUCUAAGUACCCCGAGGAAAAGAAAUCAACCGAGAUUCCCCCAGUAGCGGCGAGCGAACGGGGAGCAGCCCAGAGUCUGAAUCAGCUUGUGUGUUAGUGGAACGGUCUGGAAAGUCCGACGGUACAGGGUGAUAGUCCCGUACACCAAAAUGCACAGGCUGUGAACUCGAAGAGUAGGGCGGGACACGUGGUAUCCUGUCUGAAUAUGGGGGGACCAUCCUCCAAGGCUAAAUACUCCUGACUGACCGAUAGUGAACCAGUACCGUGAGGGAAAGGCGAAAAGAACCCCGGCGAGGGGAGUGAAAAAGAACCUGAAACCGUGUACGUACAAGCAGUGGGAGCACCUUCGGGUGUGACUGCGUACCUUUUGUAUAAUGGGUCAGCGACUUAUAUUCUGUAGCAAGGUUAACCGUAUAGGGGAGCCGCAGGGAAACCGAGUCUUAACUGGGCGUUAAGUUGCAGGGUAUAGACCCGAAACCCGGUGAUCUAGCCAUGGGCAGGUUGAAGGUUGGGUAACACUAACUGGAGGACCGAACCGACUAAUGUUGAAAAAUUAGCGGAUGACUUGUGGCUGGGGGUGAAAGGCCAAUCAAACCGGGAGAUAGCUGGUUCUCCCCGAAAGCUAUUUAGGUAGCGCCUCGUGAAUUCAUCUUCGGGGGUAGAGCACUGUUUCGGCUAGGGGGUCAUCCCGACUUACCAACCCGAUGCAAACUACGAAUACCGAAGAAUGUUAUCACGGGAGACACACGGCGGGUGCUAACGUCCGUCGUGAAGAGGGAAACAACCCAGACCGCCAGCUAAGGUCCCAAAGUCACAGUUAAGUGGGAAACGAUGUGGGAAGGCACAGACAGCCAGGAUGUUGGCUUAGAAGCAGCCAUCAUUUAAAGAAAGCGUAAUAGCUCACUGGUCGAGUCGGCCUGCGCGGAAGAUGUAACGGGGCUAAACUGUGCACCGAAGCUGCGGCAGCGACACUAUGUGUUGUUGGGUAGGGGAGCGUUCUGUAAGCCUGCGAAGGUGGCCUGUGAGGGUUGCUGGAGGUAUCAGAAGUGCGAAUGCUGACAUAAGUAACGAUAAUGCGGGUGAAAAGCCCGCACGCCGGAAGACCAAGGGUUCCUGUCCAACGUUAAUCGGGGCAGGGUGAGUCGACCCCUAAGGCGAGGCCGAAAGGCGUAGUCGAUGGGAAACAGGUUAAUAUUCCUGUACUUGGUGUUACUGCGAAGGGGGGACGGAGAAGGCUAUGUUAGCCGGGCGACGGUUGUCCCGGUUUAAGCAUGUAGGCGGAGGUUCCAGGUAAAUCCGGUACCUUUUAACGCUGAGGUGUGAUGACGAGGCACUACGGUGCUGAAGUAACAAAUGCCCUGCUUCCAGGAAAAGCCUCUAAGCAUCAGGUAACAUUGAAUCGUACCCCAAACCGACACAGGUGGUCAGGUAGAGAAUACCAAGGCGCUUGAGAGAACUCGGGUGAAGGAACUAGGCAAAAUGGUGCCGUAACUUCGGGAGAAGGCACGCUGAUAUGUAGGUGAAGCCCCUGCGGGUGGAGCUGAAAUCAGUCGAAGAUACCAGCUGGCUGCAACUGUUUAUUAAAAACACAGCACUGUGCAAACACGAAAGUGGACGUAUACGGUGUGACGCCUGCCCGGUGCCGGAAGGUUAAUUGAUGGGGUUAUCCGUAAGGAGAAGCUCUUGAUCGAAGCCCCGGUAAACGGCGGCCGUAACUAUAACGGUCCUAAGGUAGCGAAAUUCCUUGUCGGGUAAGUUCCGACCUGCACGAAUGGCGUAAUGAUGGCCAGGCUGUCUCCACCCGAGACUCAGUGAAAUUGAACUCGCUGUGAAGAUGCAGUGUACCCGCGGCAAGACGGAAAGACCCCGUGAACCUUUACUAUAGCUUGACACUGAACAUUGAGCCUUGAUGUGUAGGAUAGGUGGGAGGCUUUGAAGCGUGGACGCCAGUCUGCGUGGAGCCAACCUUGAAAUACCACCCUUUAAUGUUUGAUGUUCUAACGUUGGCCCCUGACCGGGGUUGCGGACAGUGUCUGGUGGGUAGUUUGACUGGGGCGGUCUCCUCCCAAAGAGUAACGGAGGAGCACGAAGGUUAGCUAAUCCUGGUCGGACAUCAGGAGGUUAGUGCAAUGGCAUAAGCUAGCUUGACUGCGAGCGUGACGGCGCGAGCAGGUGCGAAAGCAGGUCAUAGUGAUCCGGUGGUUCUGAAUGGAAGGGCCAUCGCUCAACGGAUAAAAGGUACUCCGGGGAUAACAGGCUGAUACCGCCCAAGAGUUCAUAUCGACGGCGGUGUUUGGCACCUCGAUGUCGGCUCAUCACAUCCUGGGGCUGAAGUAGGUCCCAAGGGUAUGGCUGUUCGCCAUUUAAAGUGGUACGCGAGCUGGGUUUAGAACGUCGUGAGACAGUUCGGUCCCUAUCUGCCGUGGGCGCUGGAGAAUUGAGGGGGGCUGCUCCUAGUACGAGAGGACCGGAGUGGACGCAUCACUGGUGUUCGGGUUGUCAUGCCAAUGGCAUUGCCCGGUAGCUAAAUGCGGAAGAGAUAAGUGCUGAAAGCAUCUAAGCACGAAACUUGCCCCGAGAUGAGUUCUCCCUGAGACUUUAAGUCUCCUGAAGGAACGUUAAAGACGAUGACGUUGAUAGGUCGGGUGUGUAAGCGUAGCGAUACGUUGAGCUAACCGAUACUAAUGAACCGUGAGGCUUAACCUU